AUUUGAACCAAAAACUUGAGAAAAAAACCCCAAAACCAAAACCAAAUCUAAAGUAACAAAGGGUGAGGAAAAACAGAUGUGCCACCCGUUUUUUUACUAACUGGCAGAGAGGGGGGCAAUUAUAAACCGCGGCCGGCGGUAGAAGGGAGCAGGGCUUGGGACCAGACGCCCGCCACAGCGCCUGCGGGGCCGGGGACGCCACCGGGGCCGGGCCGCCCGCAGCCAGCACCGCCGGGUCGGGUCGAGCCGGGCCGGGGGUGGCUCUUCCCCUGCCGGAGGAACGGAGCGGGCCCGGGGCGGCCUGAUGUCGGCGGGGAAGCGGUGCUGAGGGAAUGGCGGAGGGUGGGGGGGUGUGUGAGGAGAGGCGGGCGGGCGCCACAGAGGGUUAAGGGCGGCGGGCCCGGGGCAGGCUGGGAGUUGUAGGCGCGGCGGAAUGCCGGGAGCUGUCGUAAACGCCGCCCGCUCGCCGUGGCGGGCCCCACAGGCGGCACCGCGGCCCGGUCGGCACCACCGGCCUCCAAACGCCGCGUUGAGGGAGGCCCGGGCCCCGUCGGUGCUGCUGGAGGAACGUUGGCUUUGUGUAUGUGCGUCCCCCCCACCCCGAGCCAUGAGGAUCAGCCCCAGGAUGGCUAGCGCGGCCCGGCCCGGGGUGGCCGCCUCAGGCCCCGCGAGAGAAGAAUUCAGGUGCCUGCUGGCGCUGAAGCGUGAUGGAGUUUUGGAGGGACAAAGCCAGGAAGCCAAGGAGACUCGGUAGUCAGCUGGCUAGCAAGUUUGGCCGCCUUCCGUGUGAUGGAGCGACGUAGCCCAGUUGUGGGUUGACUUUUAGGGCUUGCAUCACCCCCACCCCCGGACGGGUUUGCAUCUGCGGUUGUCUGGAGCUGGCCACCUGCCCCAACUGCCAGGAGAUGCUGCAGAGAUGUGGAUCUCCAGAGCCUUGGCAAG
rnacentral:lncRNA from 1 species